rnacentral:rRNA from 1 species
AGGUAAGCUACUAAGAGCGAAUGGUGGAUGCCUUGACUGGUAAAGGCGAUGAAGGACGUACUAGACUGCGAUAAGCUACGGGGAGCUGUCAAGAAGCUUUGAUCCGUAGAUUUCCGAAUGGGGCAACCCAAUGUAUAGAGAUAUACAUUACCUAUAUAGGAGCGAACGAGGGGAAUUGAAACAUCUUAGUACCCUCAGGAAAAGAAAUCAAUAGAGAUUGCGUCAGUAGCGGCGAGCGAAAGCGCAAGAGGGCAAACCCAGUGCUUGCACUGGGGGUUGUAGGACUGCAAUGUGCAAGAGGUAAGUUUAGCAGAACAUUCUGGAAAGUAUAACCAUAGAGGGUGAUAGUCCCGUAUGCGAAAAACAAACCUUAGCUAGCAGUAUCCUGAGUAGGGCGGGACACGAGGAAUCCUGUCUGAAUCUGGGUCGACCACGAUCCAACCCUAAAUACUAAUACCAGAUCGAUAGUGCACAAGUACCGUGAGGGAAAGGUGAAAAGAACUGAGGUGAUCAGAGUGAAAUAGAACCUGAAACCAUUUGCUUACAAUCAUUCAGAGCCCUAUGUAGCAAUACAGGGUGAUGGACUGCCUUUUGCAUAAUGAGCCUGCGAGUUGUGGUGUCUGGCAAGGUUAAGCAAACGCGAAGCCGUAGCGAAAGCGAGUCUGAAUAGGGCGCUUAGUCAGAUGCUGCAGACCCGAAACGAAGUGAUCUAUCCAUGAGCAAGUUGAAGCUAGUGUAAGAACUAGUGGAGGACUGAACCCAUAGGCGUUGAAAAGCCCCGGGAUGACUUGUGGAUAGGGGUGAAAGGCCAAUCAAACUUCGUGAUAGCUGGUUCUCUCCGAAAUAUAUUUAGGUAUAGCGUUGUGUCGUAAUAUAAGGGGGUAGAGCACUGAAUGGGCUAGGGCAUACACCAAUGUACCAAACCCUAUCAAACUCCGAAUACCUUAUAUGUAAUCACAGCAGUCAGGCGGCGAGUGAUAAAAUCCGUCGUCAAGAGGGAAACAACCCAGACUACCAGCUAAGGUCCCUAAAUCUUACUUAAGUGGAAAACGAUGUGAAGUUACUUAAACAACCAGGAGGUUGGCUUAGAAGCAGCCAUCCUUUAAAGAAAGCGUAAUAGCUCACUGGUCUAGUGAUUUUGCGCGGAAAAUAUAACGGGGCUAAAGUAAGUACCGAAGCUGUAGACUUAGUUUACUAAGUGGUAGGAGAGCGUUCUAUUUGCGUCGAAGGUAUACCGGUAAGGAGUGCUGGAGCGAAUAGAAGUGAGCAUGCAGGCAUGAGUAGCGAUAAUUAAUGUGAGAAUCAUUAACGCCGUAAACCCAAGGUUUCCUACGCGAUGCUCGUCAUCGUAGGGUUAGUCGGGUCCUAAGUCGAGUCCGAAAGGGGUAGACGAUGGCAAAUUGGUUAAUAUUCCAAUACCAACAUUAGUGUGCGAUGGAAGGACGCUUAGGGCUAAGGGGGCUAGCGGAUGGAAGUGCUAGUCUAAGGUCGUAGGAGGUUAUACAGGCAAAUCCGUAUAACAAUACUCCGAGAACUGAAAGGCUUUUUGAAGUCUUCGGAUGGAUAGAAGAACCCCUGAUGCCGUCGAGCCAAGAAAAGUUUCUAAGUUUAGCUAAUGUUGCCCGUACCGUAAACCGACACAGGUGGGUGGGAUGAGUAUUCUAAGGCGCGUGGAAGAACUCUCUUUAAGGAACUCUGCAAAAUAGCACCGUAUCUUCGGUAUAAGGUGUGGUUAGCUUUGUAUUAGGAUUUACUCCGAAAGCAAGGAAACUUACAACAAAGAGUCCCUCCCGACUGUUUACCAAAAACACAGCACUCUGCUAACUCGUAAGAGGAUGUAUAGGGUGUGACGCCUGCCCGGUGCUCGAAGGUUAAUUGAUGGGGUUAGCAUUAGCGAAGCUCUUGAUCGAAGCCCGAGUAAACGGCGGCCGUAACUAUAACGGUCCUAAGGUAGCGAAAUUCCUUGUCGGUUAAAUACCGACCUGCAUGAAUGGCGUAACGAGAUGGGAGCUGUCUCAAAGAGGGAUCCAGUGAAAUUGUAGUGGAGGUGAAAAUUCCUCCUACCCGCGGCAAGACGGAAAGACCCCGUGGACCUUUACUACAGCUUGACACUGCUACUUGGAUAAGAAUGUGCAGGAUAGGUGGGAGGCUUUGAGUAUAUGACGCCAGUUGUAUAUGAGCCAUUGUUGAGAUACCACUCUUUCUUAUUUGGGUAGCUAACC